GACGAACGCUGGCGGCGUGCUUAACACAUGCAAGUCGAACGGAAAGGCCCUGCUUUUGUGGGGUGCUCGAGUGGCGAACGGGUGAGUAACACGUGAGUAACCUGCCCUUGACUUUGGGAUAACUUCAGGAAACUGGGGCUAAUACCGGAUAGGAGCUCCUGCUGCAUGGUGGGGGUUGGAAAGUUUCGGCGGUUGGGGAUGGACUCGCGGCUUAUCAGCUUGUUGGUGGGGUAGUGGCUUACCAAGGCUUUGACGGGUAGCCGGCCGGGGAGGGUGACAGGCCACAUUGGGACUGAGAUACGGCCCGGCCCCCUCCGGGAGGCAGAGGUGGGGAAGAUUGCACAAGGGGAGGAAGCCUAAUGCAGCACCGCCGCGUGGGGGAUGAGGGCCAUCGGGUUGUAAACCAAUUCCCCCUGUGCCGAGGCGUGAGUGACGGUAAUGGGUAAAGAAGCACCGGCUAACUACGUG
rnacentral:rRNA from 1 species